rnacentral:rRNA from 1 species
CGGACGGGUGAGUAACGCGUGGGUAACCUGCCUUAUACAGGGGGUAACGAGUCAGAAAUGACUGCUAAUACCGCAUAAGCGCACAGGACCGCAUGGUCCGGUGUGAAAAACUCCGGUGGUAUAAGAUGGACCCGCGUUGGAUUAGCUUGUUGGUGGGGCAACGGCUCACCAAGGCGACGAUCCAUAGCCGGCCUGAGAGGGUGAACGGCCACAUUGGGACUGAGACACGGCCCAG